rnacentral:rRNA from 1 species
CAGCAGCCGCGGUAAUACGUAGGUGGCAAGCGUUGUCCGGAAUUAUUGGGCGUAAAGGGCUCGCAGGCGGCUUCUUAAGUCUGAUGUGAAAGCCCCCGGCUCAACCGGGGAGGGUCAUUGGAAACUGGGAAACUUGAGUGCAGAAGAGGAGAGUGGAAUUCCACGUGUAGCGGUGAAAUGCGUAGAGAUGUGGAGGAACACCAGUGGCGAAGGCGACUCUCUGGUCUGUAACCGACGCUGAGGAGCGAAAGCGUGGGGAGCGAACAGGAUUAGAUACCCCGGUAGUCCCUGUCUCUUAUAC